UUCUCCGUUGGUGAACCAGCGGAGGGAUCAUUGCGGAGUUUUCACAACUCCCAACCCUUGCGAACCGUACCCAUUCUGUUCUCGUUGCUUCCGGCGGGCGGGACAAGGGGGCGCGAAACGGCCGCCCCCCCCCGCCCGCCGUGGGCGGCGGGCCCCACUCACCUUCCCAUCUCAACCCCAAGAAACCGACCGCGAAAACAAACAAAAUAAUCAAAACUUUCAACAACGGAUAUCGUAGCACUUGCAUCGAUGAAUAACGUAACAGAUCAGUAGAGCACA
rnacentral:misc_RNA from 1 species